rnacentral:tRNA from 1 species
GGCGCCAUAGCCAAGUGGUAAGGCAUCGGUCUGCAACACCUUGAUCCCCAGUUCGAAUCUGGGUGGCGCCUCCA